GAACCCGGAGAUAGCUGGUUCUCCUCGAAAUAGCUUUAGGGCUAGCCUCAUGAGAGUCUUAUGGAGGUAGAGCACUGAAUUGCCUAGGGGGCGUCAAAGCUUACCAAAGCAUAUCAAACUCCGAAUGCCAUCAAGAUGAUUCAUGGGAGUCAGACCAUACGAGAUAAGUUGGAUGGUCAAAAGGGAAAGAGCCCAGACCUACAGCUAAGGUCCCAAAGUGCGUGUUAAGUGGAAAAGGAUGUGGGGAUUCUAAGACAACUAGGACGUUGGCUUAGAAGCAGCCAUUCAUUGAAAGAGUGCGUAAUAGCUCACUAGUCGAGAGUCCCUGCGCCGAAAAUGUCCGGGGCUGAAACACGACACCGAAGCUUAGGAAUGUGUAAACAUUGGUAGAGGAGCAUUGCUGGCGGGAUGAAGCCAUACCGUAAGGAGUGGUGGACUGCCAGGAAGAGAGAAUGCCGGAAUGAGUAGCGAGAUGAAGGUGAGAAUCCUUCAGGCCGAAUAUCUAAGGUUUCCAGAGUAAAGCUGAUCUGCUCUGGGUAAGUCGGGACCUAAGGCGAGGUCGAAAGACGUAGUCGAUGGAUAACAGGUUGAAAUUCCUGUACCGCAUAUAAACAGAACUGUGGGGACACAGACAGGGAAUGGAAUCCGGGAAUGGAAAUCCCGGUGCAAGCGAGGUAGGAGUGCUGUUGGCAAAUCCGCAGCACGAUCUGAAGACGUGACGCGUACCGAACAUAAGUAGGGAAGUCCAGGCCCCUGGCUGUCAAGAAAAGCCGCUAUUGUUUUAUAUGUGCCCGUACCGCAAACCGACACAGGUGGAUGAGGAGAGAAUCCUAAGGCCGACGGGAGAAGUAUUGUUAAGGAACUCGGCAAAAUGACUCCGUAACUUCGGGAGAAGGAGUGCCAUGAGAGUGGCCGCAGAGAAAUGGCCCAAGCAACUGUUUAGCAAAAACACAGGUCUAUGCAAAACCGCAAGGUGAAGUAUAUGGGCUGACGCCUGCCCGGUGCUGGAAGGUUAAGGGGAGAGGUUAGCGCAAGCGAAGCUUUGAACUUAAGCCCCAGUAAACGGCGGCCGUAACUAUAACGGUCCUAAGGUAGCGAAAUUCCUUGUCGGGUAAGUUCCGACCCGCACGAAAGGCGUAAUGAUUUGAGCACUGUCUCGACAAUGCAUCCGGUGAAAUUGAAGUACCAGUGAAGAUGCUGGUUACCCGCGCCAGGACGGAAAGACCCCAUGGAGCUUUACUCCAGUUUGAUACUGGGAUUCGGUACUGCAUGUACAGGAUAGGUGGGAGACGAAGAAGGAUGGACGCCAGUCUGUCCGGAGUCGCUGUUGGGAUACCACCCCUGUAGUACUGGGUUUCUAACCAGUUGCCAUGAUCUGGUAAUGGGACAAUGUCAGGCGGGGAGUUUGACUGGGGCGGUCGCCUCCGAAAGGGUAUCGGAGGCGCUCAAAGGUUCCCUCAGAAUGGUUGGAAACCAUUUGAAGAGUGCAAAGGCAGAAGGGAGCUUGACUGCGACACCGACGGGUGGAGCAGGUACGAAAGUAGGACUUAGUGAUCCGGUGGUAUAAAGUGGGAUUGCCAUCGCUCAACGGAUAAAAGCUACCCUGGGGAUAACAGGCUUAUCACUCCCAAGAGUUCACAUCGACGGAGUGGUUUGGCACCUCGAUGUCGGCUCAUCGCAUCCUGGGGCUGUAGCAGGUCCCAAGGGUUGGGCUGUUCGCCCAUUAAAGCGGUACGCGAGCUGGGUUCAGAACGUCGUGAGACAGUUCGGUCCCUAU
rnacentral:rRNA from 1 species